rnacentral:rRNA from 1 species
UAGGGAAUCUUGCGCAAUGGGCGAAAGCCUGACGCAGCCAUGCCGCGUGAAUGAUGAAGGUCUUAGGAUUGUAAAAUUCUUUCACCGGGGAAGAUAAUGACGGUACCCGGAGAAGAAGCCCCGGCUAACUUCGUGCCAGCAGCCGCGGUAAUACGAAGGGGGCUAGCGUUGCUCGGAAUUACUGGGCGUAAAGGGCGCGUAGGCGGAUAUCUAAGUUGGGGGUGAAAGCCCGGGGCUCAACCUCGGAAUAGCCUUCAAUACUGGAUAUCUUGAGUUCGGGAGAGGUGAGUGGAAUGCCGAGUGUAGAGGUGAAAUUCGUAGAUAUUCGGCGGAACACCAGUGGCGAAGGCGACUCACUGGCCCGAUACUGACGCUGAGGCGCGAAAGCGUGGGGAGCAAACAGG